UAAAAUUGAGAUUGACUUUGCGCUUAAUGAAGUUAGUAGGGGCUUUGGCACCUAAUGUUACAUUUUGACCGGGGGCGCCACUCUUUAUUUAUAUAUAGUUAUAUACUUCUAUACGUGAAAAUAUUAAUACAUUCAUCUAUUUCUAUCGAGCGACUAGGUGGCGAACAAACCCCUAUUCUAUAUACCGCCGCCAGGUGUAAAUGUAAUUGGUGGGAGACAGGCUAUGCACCUACAUGAUGUUAUAGAAUGGUCACAAUAACUUUUAGCAACUAUAUUUAUACCAACUUGAAGUUUAACACAAAGAUCGUGACAUUCUUCAUCUUUCACACAAAUUCCCCAGGGGUGCUCUAUAAGCUGGUUUUCACACUGUUCUGCCUUUGCAUCUGUUAAAAAAAAUGUCAAAACUUUAUAUUUAUUAUUUUUUAAUUAACAAAAUAAAUUAAUUUCUUAAAAUAAUACCCACUUAGUGAUGCAAAAGUGAAGAUCAUAAAAGUCAGGAGAACAACGAUUCGUGAUGUAGUCAUUUUUGCUUCUGAUCUCAAAUGCAUUAAAAACACUAUAA
rnacentral:lncRNA from 1 species